rnacentral:lncRNA from 1 species
CUUGUCGCCGAAAAUGUUCUUUUGGCGAUAUCUUUGCGUAGGCUCGACGGAUUGCCGAACCGACUUCGCCAACGCGUUUCUUUUACCCUCAAUUAGGUUUGUACGCGGUCAAUUUUACGUUAGGACUUCAAUCCUGCAAAAGUGCAUUAGCGAGGUCAGUUUCUAUAAAACCCUUUUUGAUGCAAUUUCACAAUUCAAUUCCUUCUAUUCUUUCAUAUUUCCUCUUAUUCUUUCUUUUCUUUCUUUCUUUCUUUUAUUUCCCUGCAGCUUUCUUACUUUCUUUUCUUUCUUUCUUUUCUUUCCUUGCUUUCUUUCUUUUCUUUCUUGCUUUCUUGCUUUUCUUUCCCUGCUGCCCCUGCAGGGCAGCUGCUGCUGCUGCCACUACUGCUGCUAAGCUGCUGCUGCUGCUGCUGUAGCUGCUGCACUGCUGCUACUCCAGCAGCUGCUGCUGCUACUCCAGCAGCUGCUGCUGCUGAUGCUACUGCUGCUGCUACUCCAGCAGCUGCUGCUGCUGGUACUCCAGCAGCUGCUGCUGCUGGUGCAUGCUGCUGCUGCUGCUGCUGGCAGCAGCUAGCUGAGCUGCUGCUGCUGAUGCUACAGCUGCUGCUGCUGAUGCUGCUACUCCAGCAGCUGCUGCUGCUGAUGCUACUGCUGCUUGCUGCUGCUGCUACUCCAGCAGCUGCUGCUGCUGGUGCUACUACUGCUGCUUGCUGAGCUGACCAACCUGCUGCUGCUGCUGUUGCCACUGCUGCUACAACCAGUAACAGAGGGAAAAAUGGAAAGGGAAAAGGAAAGGAGAAGAGAAAAACAAUGAAAUUACCUCUUUUCUUCUUCUCUUCUUCUUCUUCUUUUGCUCUUCCUCUCCCUCUCUCUCUCUCUACGUAUGGCAGGGUGAAGGGGGAUAAGGAUGGAGGGGGCUGCCUGGCAGGUUUAGUGGAAAUCCACUAAGCCUAGGAUAUUUACCAUUUUGCCCCUCGAGUAUUACAACUUGGCGACACGGAUCAAUCACCUUUCGCAGUUCCUUCCAAAUGUCCGAUUGAGCUCAAAUUUGACAGGCAUGUUCGGUUUUACUUAACAAGUCCAAAGAAAUUUUAACAUUUCAGUUCCGACCCCGUUUGGUCACUGCGAACUGUACCGAACUGCAAUCUUUAUCCGAUAGCUUUCGGAUCCAAUUUCUCUCUCUACGGGUGUCAGAAUAAUCUGAAACUUCAAAUAUAGCCUCAUAAAAACAUUCCUGACAUCUCUGCCAAUUUUUAUAAUUUUCUGACACUGUGCAUUUUCUGCUAAUUUCUCAGUCCCGUUCUUUACAGAAAAUUCUAAAUCUUCUGUUUUCGCUCCGAUUUCAACACGAGUCAUUCCAGACUUAUGUUUUACACCCUUAAGUCCAAUCAAAUGGUAUCUCAUACCAUUUUAUAUUACUUUGCUCACUUUAAUUCUUUUAAUCAAAGUUAGCNGAACCGCGACCCGCGCUCCCGACACUUGUCGCCGAAAAUGUUCUUUUGGCGAUAUCUUUGCGUAGGCUCGACGGAUUGCCGAACCGACUUCGCCAACGCGUUUCUUUUACCCUCAAUUAGGUUUGUCGCGGUCAAUUUUACGUUAGGACUUCAAUCCUGCAAAAGUGCAUUAGCGAGGUCAGUUUCUAUAAAACCCUUUUUGAUGCAAUUUCACAAUUCAAUUCCUUCUAUUCUUUCAUAUUUCCUCUUAUUCUUUCUUUUCUUUCUUUCUUUCUUUUCUUUCCCUGCAGCUUUCUUACUUUCUUUUCUUUCUUUCUUUUCUUUCCUUGCUUUCUUUCUUUUCUUUCUUGCUUUCUUGCUUUUCUUUCCCUGCUGCCCCUGC